rnacentral:rRNA from 2 species
UUGCGGAGACGUUAGCAGUUCAUUGCCGGCGACAUCGCGAGAAGUCCAUUGAACCUUAUCAUUUAGAAGAAGGAGAAGUUAUAACAGGGUUUCCAUAGGUGAACCUGCAGAAGGAUCAUUGUCGAU